AACUUGGUACCAUCAUCGGGUGAGGUGAAUUGAUUUUGAGCAAAAUGUUGCUAACCCCCAAAUGAAAAUGGACCGCAAAGUCCUUCAAGGACAUGAAUUUUUUUUUUUUUUUUUUUUUUUUUUUUUUUUGCGCAGUAGGGUAUCUGGGCCCAUGGACUGGUAAUACCGUACGGCCCAACUAAUCCCUACUGCGGGCUGGGAGCGGCUCGCCCCAAGCGUCACCAGCCUCGGUAAUGCCGGGAUUCGACCCCUGGACGUGGCUCUCCCCCAACUGGGACUACAACCACGGAGCCGAACCCGGAAG
rnacentral:lncRNA from 1 species